rnacentral:rRNA from 1 species
AUUGAACGCUGGCGGCAGGCCUAACACAUGCAAGUCGAACGGUUGCAGGGAGAUUGUUGCUUGAUUGCGCGGCGGUGGGGUGCGGGAGACUUAUGUAUGUGAAAGUGCGUGGUGGAUGGGGUUCACAACUGGGAACUGUAACUAAUACCGCAUAGCGGCGCAAGACCAGAGAUCUUCGGCUUUGGGGCUCUCGGCAGCGCCUGUGCCCAGAUGGGAUUAGCUAGUGGGUGGGGUAACGGCAGACCUAGGCGACGAUCCGUACCUGGUCUGAGAGGAUGAUCAGUCACACUGGAACUGAGACACGGUCCAGACUCCUACGGGAGGCAGCAGUGGGGAAUAUUGGACAAUGGGCGAAAGCCUGAUGCAGCCAUGCCGCGUGUAUGAAGAAGGUCUUCGGGUUGUAAAGUACUUUAAGUGGGGAGGAAGGGAGUAAAGUUAAUACCUUGGCGUAUUGACGUUACCCGCAGAAGAAGCACCGGCUAACUCCGUG